UACGUAGGGUGCAAGCGUUAAUCGGAAUUACUGGGCGUAAAGCGUGCGCAGGCGGUUUUGUAAGACUGUCGUGAAAUCCCCGGGCUCAACCUGGGAAUGGCGAUGGUGACUGCAAGGCUAGAGUUUGGCAGAGGGGGGUAGAAUUCCACGUGUAGCAGUGAAUUGCGUAGAUAUGUGGAGGAACACCGAUGGCGAAGGCAGCCCCCUGGGUCAAAACUGACGCUCAUGCACGAAAGCGUGGGGAGCAAACAGG
rnacentral:rRNA from 1 species